rnacentral:rRNA from 1 species
CGCAACCCUUGAUCUUAGUUGCCAGCAUUCAGUUGGGCACUCUAAGGUGACUGCCGGUGACAAACCGGAGGAAGGUGGGGAUGACGUCAAAUCAUCAUGCCCCUUAUGACCUGGGCUACACACGUGCUACAAUGGACAGAACAAAGGGCAGCGAAACCGCGAGGUUAAGCCAAUCCCACAAAUCUGUUCUCAGUUCGGAUCGCAGUCUGCAACUCGACUGCGUGAAGCUGGAAUCGCUAGUAAUCGCGGAUCAGCAUGCCGCGGUGAAUACGUU